rnacentral:rRNA from 1 species
GACGAACGCUGGCGGCGUGCCUAAUACAUGCAAGUAGAACGCUGAAGGAGGAGCUUGCUUCUCCGGAUGAGUUGCGAACGGGUGAGUAACGCGUAGGUAACCUGCCUGGUAGCGGGGGAUAACUAUUGGAAACGAUAGCUAAUACCGCAUAAGAGUAGAUGUCGCAUGACAUUUGCUUAAAAGGUGCAACUGCACCACUACCAGAUGGACCUGCGUUGUAUUAGCUAGUUGGUGAGGUAACGGCUCACCAAGGCAACGAUACAUAGCCGACCUGAGAGGGUGAUCGGCCACACUGGGACUGAGACACGGCCCAGACUCCUACGGGAGGCAGCAGUAGGGAAUCUUCGGCAAUGGACGGAAGUCUGAACGGGCAACGCCGCGUGAGUGAAGAAGGUUUUCGGAUCGUAAAGCUCUGUUGUAAGAGAAGAACGAGUGUGAGAGUGGAAAGUUCACACUGUGACGGUAUCUUACCAGAAAGGGACGGCUAACUACGUG